CGCCUCCUGCUAAACAAAUAUAAGAGGUACUGCCUGCCCGGUGACACCUGUUUAACGGCCGCGGUAUUAUGACCGUGCAAAGGUAGCAUAAUCACUUGUCUCUUAAAUAGAGGCCUGUAUGAAUGGCAAAACGAAAACCCAACUGUCUCAUCAAAUUAAUCUAUGAAAUUGAUAUUCCCGUGCAAAAGCGGAAAUAAUUAUAUAAGACGAGAAGACCCUACGGAGCUUAAAACCUAAAUUAAUAAUUAAAUAAUAUAAUCCACGGCUUUAGGUUGGGGCGACCACGGAGGAUAAUAAAGCCCCCGAGACAUAUAAUUAAGAAAGACAAUUCAAAAUAACACUAUAAUUGAUGUAAUUGACCCAAUAAUUGAUCAACGAACCAAGUUACCCUAGGGAUAACAGCGCAAUCCUCUCAUAGAGUCCAUAUCGACGAGCGGGUUUACGACCUCGAUGUUGGAUCAAGACUACCAAAUGGCGCAGCAGCUAUUAAAGGUUCGUUUGUUCAACGAUUAAAGUCCU
rnacentral:rRNA from 1 species